rnacentral:tmRNA from 1 species
GGGGCUGAUUAUGGAUUCGACAGAAUAUGUAAAACUUUAGGAGCAUGCCGAGGGGCGGUUUGCCUCGUUAAAAGCCGUAAAAAAAUAGUUGCAAAUGACGAUAGUUUUUCGCCUGCCGCUUUAGCAGCGUAAUUAGUCUAAUAAACUAAAGGCGUCCUUUCUCCUAGCCUAUUCUCUUGAGGACGGGAUCAAGAAAGGUCAUAUUUAUAAAGAGAUCGCACAUCAGCUUUGCUUUUGGUUAAUGUGUUAAAUAAAAUUAAGCUAGUUUUUAGUGGCGUGUUAGUUCGCGACUAUUUAAUGAAAACAAUAACUAUACUAAGCAUGUAGUUCUGAUAGCAGAACAAUUCUGGACGCGGGUUCAACUCCCGCCAGCUCCACCA